AGUGAACGCUGGCGGUAGGCCUAACACAUGCAAGUCGAACGGCAGCACAGUAAGAGCUUGCUCUUACGGGUGGCGAGUGGCGGACGGGUGAGGAAUACAUCGGAAUCUACUUUUUCGUGGGGGAUAACGUAGGGAAACUUACGCUAAUACCGCAUACGACCUACGGGUGAAAGCAGGGGAUCUUCGGACCUUGCGCGAUUGAAUGAGCCGAUGUCGGAUUAGCUAGUUGGCGGGGUAAAGGCCCACCAAGGCGACGAUCCGUAGCUGGUCUGAGAGGAUGAGCAGCCACACUGGAACUGAAACACGGUCCAAACUCCUACGGGAGGCAGCGGUGGGGAAUAUUGGAAAAUGGGGGCAAGCCUGAUCCAGCCAUACCCGGUGGGUGAAGAAGGCCUUCGGGUUGUAAAGCCCUUUUGUUGGGAAAAAAAAGCAGCAGGUUAAUACCCCGCUGUUCUGACGGUACCCAAAGAAUAAGCCCCGGCUAACUUCGU
rnacentral:rRNA from 1 species